rnacentral:misc_RNA from 1 species
GCAAACUUGGUCAUUUAGAGGAAGUAAAAGUCGUAACAAGGUUUCCGUAGGUGAACCUGCGGAAGGAUCAUUAUUGAAUGAAUUUAGAGUUGGUUGUUGCUGGCUUUCGGGCAUGUGCACACCUUCUCUUUCAUCCACACACACCUGUGCACUUGUGAGACAGGAAGAGGGCCUUAAUUGGCUUUUUUUUUCCUGUCUACUUAAUUACACAAACUCAUUUAUUUUAAACCGAAUGUAAUUGAUGUAACACAUCAUAAUUAAAUACUAAGUUUCAACAACGGAUCUCUUGGCUCUCGCAUCGAUGAAGAACGCAGC